GGAACCCAACAGACAAGGAACAGAUGCCUAAUUAGCAGAGCGCGAUGCUUCGGCGGCUGGUUCCUCUGCUGGGCGUCCCACAGGGCUCCGUGCUGGGCCUGGCUGCGUGCUCCGCGCUGCACUUCUGCUGGCUGGGAACCUCUCACCUGGGCCAAGUCUGGAAGAAAUCCAGUAUCACUAAAGCAAAUUAAUAAGACUUCUUGUAAAUUCUGCACUGAAUUUUACAUUUUUUUCUUUGCCAUUUUUUUUUAAUUAUUUUUCAAGGUGACAGCUGAGGAUUUAUACAAAAGAUACAUUGUGUGCUUUGGUUAAUGAUUUUUAAACUCAUUUCAAUUUUUCUGUAAUGCUUGGUAGUUGUUUAAAAGUAGAUUUUAUGAACAAGAGAGGAAGAUAAUGAAAAGUUAUGAAGAUUAUGAAGUUACAAUACAUAAAAUUUAGUAUUUACUUUUUGUUGAGACAUCUUUGUAUAAACUUUGUAUAUAAAUUUAUCUUUCCUAGGAAUAAUACUUGUACUGCAUUACUAGUUUAAAUAAUUGUACUCAAAGUAAAGCUAAUUUCUAAAGUCAAACUAUGUAAAUCAGUACUAAUGAUCUACUAAUGCAUUAAAGUGAUUACAAGAAUCAGA